CAUCGUUGGCCUUUGGAAUGAGAGGCCUGGUAUAUCAGGAGUGGCCCACAGCUACAUUUGUACUCUGACGCGUUGGGAAGCCCCCAUGAUCUUCGAAGAGAGCUAUUCACAGCUCAUUUCCAGGAAGGGGACCUAUGUGAGCAAAGGGGUCAAGUCCAGUCAGCUGGAACUAAGUGAGAUUGCCAUGGCUGAGAAGCAGCCCCAAGGAGUUGAGGAUGGUGGAAAUCCUUAGAGAAACAAGUACAUCAGUGGUAGAGGCAGAGGAGGGGCCGUAUAAUUUCAAGUGAAUCUGCUUGGAAGAUUGCAUAUCUCGUGAAGAAAAGGAAUCUGACUUUUAGGAGCAGUGAUAGUCUGUCACAUAAAACAUGCGUAGUGAAGAAGAUCGAACCUGACAUUGGAUCAUGACCAUGGUCGGGACCGGAGAGAUGGUAUCCCCGGGUCUCUCCAGCUCUCUGAUCCAUGCAGAAUCAAAACACCUUUUAAGAAAAGAAUAAAGAAGCCUCAUCAGAGAGAAGUGAAAGUAUUGCUGGAUUCCUCUUGGCUGAAGAAAGAGUCAACAGAAAGUUGGAGGAGAACGUAUCAACCACACCAGAGAAGUUUCUGGUGAGUGGCCCUUAGGAAAGAGGGAGGCUUUGAAAGACCUCCCAGAAUCUGUGUGAGAGGAAGAGGCAACUCUACGCACUGCCAGGGCCCAGGGAACCCACAGCCUGUUCUCAAGGGCACCACACCUCCCUCCAAGUCUGCUCUCCCAUACUGGAGGAAUCAGAAACCUGAUUGGCAAGUUGGGGAAGAGUGACAGGGGAGGACAGAAGAAUGCAACAACCCUGCCCCCUUCACUGACUGCAGCAUUUUUUUUCCCUCUUCUUUUAACAACACAUUCUGUCUAGAGAAGGGUGAGUCCUUGAAACUUGGAAUGAACCUGGAAACUU